UGUGUAACGCCCGGAUAAUUAUGCUACAGUAAAAUUCUGUAUUGAUGCCACGUCACCUUCGUUACUGUUGCUAAUCUUUCAUUAGUUCAAAACCGGUCCAAAAAUCAAAAUUCAAAUAUGACAAACAACAAAAGUUUUCAAACAUCAAAACAAAAAUGUUCGGGCAGUGCCAAAUAUUGCAUAGGUAAUUAUGGUGAAGUAAACACAUUUUUAGAAAAUGACUAAAUACUUUAAAAUGAAAUAAAACAGAAAAGAAAAAUAAAGAAAAGAAAGAAGGAAAGAGAAAGGAAACCCCCCCAAACUGUAGCGACCAGACCUCAAACAGUCUGACCUCUGUGCUCAGUGUCAUCCCUGGAUCAGUAAUGCUGACACCACACAGUACUUGGAGGAUUUAUAACAGAGUAGCAAUCACACACUUAUUACAUCGAAUGUCUCAAAAGAGAACUUAUUGAAAUAAAUAUGGCUUAAGGCCAUCUAAUACGAUAACAGCGGAAGGCUUGGAAGAUAAGCGAGUCCAUCAACUCCAACGGCAUCACUGAGUAUAGAACCACGACCUAAAAGCACCUUACACUUUGUCUGAAAAGUCUGCAACGUGAAACGUUGCAGCCCGAAACGGGUCAGCAUAUGGAAUAUGCUGGCAAUGUAACACAUAGAGAAUAACAAUGGAGAAUGGCUAUACUACAUGCAUAUUUGGCUGGUGGUAAAGCUCUACGGUUACAGUUUUGCGAAAAGCAAAUUUUUCCCUACUACAAAGGAAUAAAUUUUAUUUAACUAUCAUGGUGGUUGUUAAACAUUGAGAAUGGUUGACAGCAUCCUCAAUCCCAAUUAAAAGUACUCAUUUAAAACCCAACAAUAUUAAUUAGAAGUAACAUGAUGAGAAUCACACGAUAUCCAGGUACUAGAUACUCAAAACGCCCAUAACCGGGGACACGGCUAACCAUGAUUAGUUUAUACACUCUGCAGAGGUUUGCGCACUUUUCCCCACAUGACUCGAUCGCCUCUGCUUGGUUCCUCGCACUACAUGGUGUUUGAGAAACGGAUGACCGAGACAUAGUCUUUCAGAAGCACUAGCAUCUUACAUGAGGGGUAGACCGUACCAACCUACAUCUGCUAGUCCACCCCGUAAGAGUUCGCACAACUUAGUCAACUAUGCUAGAGCCCAUAAUAGCAUGUGGCUGCACACGUAAGUUACUAGUAUGAAUUAUCUUAUGAUCCCUUUGAGCCUGGAUGGCGGUCCAAAGAAAUACAUGCAAGUCCUGCUAGAAAACAGGUGCCUCAAUCCACCCAGAUGUGUGUUUAAGUUGCCACCUUAAGUAAACCGGUAAUUAACAAUCUCACAUCUGUCAUGGAUAUUCACUCACCCAAUCCACGUCUACUAGCAUAGCAUGGCAUAGUAAGCAACGUAGAAGUAACUCCAAAAGGUUUGAUAAUAAAACAGGUAAUAGGUACUACCUCAUCUACUUCCCAUCCCACAAUUUAAUUAGAUCCUAUUCAUGCAAUGUUUGAGGAUAGAUCUAAUGCAUAAAACUGGGUAGUAGAAAGGUAUGAUCAAGUGUUACUUGCCUUGCUGAUGAUCCGCGAAACCUAGGGACUCGAAGUAACAGGCGGCGCACUCCGGGUAUUCUAUCGCAGACAAACAAACAAGCAUACAAUAAGUACUCAUCUAAUGCACAGGUAAAACUCGAACAAAAGAUCCAACCGGAAAGUUCAACUUAAGAACUCCGGUUGCAAAAAGAAUCAAAUCAACUAAAGCAACGAAAGUCAAACGGCGAAAGAAACAACUUCAUUUCGCUAAUCUGGAUCUAAGUCAAAUUUUACAGAAGCAAAAGCUAGUUUAAGUAGAUUAUUCGGAAAGAGGGUUUCGAGACGAAACUCCAGGCGCUUGAAUUGCUUGAUUCCGAUAAACGAGCGAAAAUUUAUACUAAAUCGAAAAUCGGAUCAGAAAUCGCGAUCAGAAAAUAACCGCGGAAAAUCCGAGAAAAAGAAAAACGACGAACAGAUUAUCGAACGAACGUUCGUUAAUCUAACGAAUCUGACGAAAAGCGUUCGUUAAGACGAACUAAUGGACGAACGUCCGCUAAUUAACCUAAACCGAAAAAAAACCGAAAACUAAAAUAAAACGAAUCUAAAAAAAACCGUAAAGAAAACCGCCCGGUUUUUUUUAAGAAAACCGGCGGCACGCGNNNNNNNNNNNNNNNNNNNNNNNNNNNNNNNNNNNNNNNNNNNNNNNNNNNNNNNNNNNNNNNNNNNNNNNNNNNNNNNNNNNNNNNNNNNNNNNNNNNNNNNNNNNNNNNNNNNNNNNNNNNNNNNNNNNNNNNNNNNNNNNNNNNNNNNNNNNNNNNNNNNNNNNNNNNNNNNNNNNNNNNNNNNNNNNNNNNNNNNNNNNNNNNNNNNNNNNNNNNNNNNNNNNNNNNNNNNNNNNNNNNNNNNNNNNNNNNNNNNNNNNNNNNNNNNNNNNNNNNNNNNNNNNNNNNNNNNNNNNNNNNNNNNNNNNNNNNNNNNNNNNNNNNNNNNNNNNNNNNNNNNNNNNNNNNNNNNNNNNNNNNNNNNNNNNNNNNNNNNNNNNNNNNNNNNNNNNNNNNNNNNNNNNNNNNNNNNNNNNNNNNNNNNNNNNNNNNNNNNNNNNNNNNNNNNNNNNNNNNNNNNNNNNNNNNNNNNNNNNNNNNNNNNNNNNNNNNNNNNNNNNNNNNNNNNNNNNNNNNNNNNNNNNNNNNNNACCUCGGGGUGCGGGCGGUGGCUCCGGCGGCGGCGGCGGCGGCGGGCGGCGUCGGCGGUGGCGACGACGGCUGGCUAGGGUUAGGGUUUGCGGGUGGGCCAGCGGGGUGGGCUGCGGGCUUGGGGCGCCAGGGUCCCGCGCUUUAUAUAGCGCCCCCGAGCGGAGUCCCGCUCGGGUACGGCCCGGAGUCGGUUCCGUUUUUUUUAAAACAUUACGCUCGGUAGAAAAAUCAAAAGAAAUAUUAAACGGACUCCAAAAAUCCCGAAAUAAAUUUUCCCCGGCUUCUAAAAUCAAGCCGGACUAGAUGAACAUUUAUUUGGGGCCUAAAUGAAAUUUUGAAAAACGCACAUUUUUCCUAAAUUCAAAAUAAAAGGCGAAAAACUCCAAAAUAAAACUUAUUUGAUUUUUUAUUAAAUCCUCAUUAUUUCUUUAUUUUGGGAAAGUCAUUUUAUUCCCUCUCUGAAUUUUUGGUAGUAGAAAUAACGGAAGAUAAUAUAAAUAAAAUCAAUGAUCCUAUUUUCAGCAUUUGAGAAAAACCCCAAAUAUGAAAAUAACGAAAUCCCCAACUCUCUCCGAGGGUCCUUGAGUUGCGUAGAAUUUCUAGGAUCGAGCCAACGAUGCAAUAAAAAUAUGAUAUGCAUGAUGAUCUAUGUAUAACAUUCCAAAUUGGAAAUUUGGGAUGUUACAAACCUACCCCCCUUAAGAUGAAUCUCGCCCUCGAGAUUCGGGUUGGCUAGCAAAUAGGUGAGGGUGGUCCUUGAGCAGAUCUUCCUCUCGUUCCCAGGUGGCUUCCUCCUCGGUGUGGUGGCUCCACUGAACCUUGCAAAACUUGAUAACCUUGCUGCGAGUAACUCUGCUGGCAUAAUCCAAAAUCUUAACAGGUUUCUCUUCAUAGGUCAGAUCUUCUUUCAACUGAAUCGUCUCCAAUGACACCGUAUCUCUCAGUGGUAUAUCGGCCAUCUCUGCGUGACACUUCUUCAACUGUGAUACAUGGAACACAUCAUAAACUCCUGAUAAUCCCUCAGGUAAUUCCAACUUGUAUGCUACUUCUCCCAUGCGUUCCAAAACCUUGUAUGGCCCCACAAAACGUGGCGCUAACUUUCCUUUAACUCCAAAACGCUUAACUCCUCGUAGUGGAGAUACUCGAAGAUAAACUCUGUCUCCGACUACGUAUUCUGUCUCCUUGCGUUUCGAAUCUGCAUAGCUCUUCUGCCUGGACUGGGCUACCUUGAGUCUAUCACGAAUAAACUUAACUUUCUGCUCGGACUCCUUAAUCAAAUCUGCUCCAAACAACUGGCGGUCUCCAACCUCAUCCCACAACAACGGGGUUCUGCACCUCCUUCCGUACAAGGCUUCGAAAGGGGCCAUCUUCAAACUGGACUGAUAGCUGUUGUUGUAAGAAAACUCCGCGUAGGGCAAGUUGUCAUCCCAACUUGAUCCAUAAUCCAAAACACAAGCUCUAAGCAUAUCCUCCAAAAUCUGAUUGACCCUCUCGGUUUGUCCAUCUGUCUGUGGGUGGAAAGCUGUGCUAAACUCCAGCCCGGUUCCCAAUGUUUUGUGCAACUGUUUCCAGAACUUCGAGGUGAAUUGGGUCCCUCUAUCUGAUAUGAUACUCCUCGGAACUCCAUGCAAACAUACAAUCCUCGUCAUGUAUAUCUUAGCCAAUUUGGCACUGCUGUAGGUAGUCUUGACUGGGAUGAAAUGAGCUACCUUUGUCAAACGAUCAACUACAACCCAAAUCGAGUCAUAGCCUGAACGCGUCCUGGGCAAUCCCGUGAUGAAAUCCAUACCUAAUUUAUCCCACUUCCAUUCGGGUAUAGGUAAGGGCUGUAACAGUCCAGCUGGCUUCUGAUGUUCUGCUUUCACCCUCUGACAAACAUCACAAACUGCUACAUACUCUGCGAUAUCCUUCUUCAUUCCGGUCCACCAGAAUGUUUCCUUCAAAUCCAAAUACAUCUUGGUAUUUCCUGGGUGAAUCGAAUAGGGUGAAUCAUGUGCCCUCUUGCAGAAUUAACUUCCUGAUCUCCGGGUUAUUUGGCACAUAAACACGGUCCUCAAAUCGUCGGAUAUCGUACUCAUCCUCACGAAAUCCCUUAGCCUUUCCUUUGCUCAUCUGUUCCUUAAUAGUGACAACCUCCGUAUCUGCUUUUUGAGCUUCUCUGAUUUUAUCCAUCAGCGUAGACUGAAUCUCCAAUGCUGCUACAUAGCCUCUCGGAACUAUUUCCAAACAUAGCUCUCGAAGGUCCUCGGCUAACUCCUUGGGUAUUUCUCCCGUCAUUAGAGUAUUGACAUGGCUCUUGUGGCUCAACGCGUCUGCUACAACGUUAGCCUUCCCGGGGUGAUAAUGCAAUCUCAUAUCAUAAUCCUUAAUAAGUUCCAACCAUCUCCUCUGCCUGAGAUUUAACUCCUUCUGCGUGAAGAUGUACUUCAAACUCUUGUGAUCCGUGUACACUUCACAACGAUUCCCAAUGAGAAAAUGUCUCCACGUUUUCAGUGCAUGCACUACGGCUGCUAACUCCAAAUCAUGAGUAGCAUAAUUCAACUCAUGGGGCUUAAGUUGUCAUGAAGCAUACGAAACAACUCUACCCUCCUGCAUAAGCACUGCUCCAAGUCCUCUACGUGAAGCGUCGCAAUACACUUCAUAAUCCUUAGUCUGAUCUGGCAAAAUCAACACUGGUGAGGUAACCAAAUGUUUCUUCAACUCUUGGAAACUAGCUUCACACUCCUCAGUCCAUAUGAACUUAGUAUCCUUCUUCAAUAACUCUGUCAUAGGCUUCGCAAUCUUUGAGAAAUUUUCAAUGAAUCUCCGGUAGUAUCCUGCGAGUCCAAGAAAACUCCGGAUCUCUCCAACUGUCGUUGGUGCUUCCCAAUUGGUCACAGUGACUACUUUGGUGGGGUCUACUGCGAUACCUUCUCCAGAUAUAAUGUGUCCGAGAAAUCCAACUUCCUUUAGCCAAAACUCACAUUUGCUGAACUUGGCAUAUAACUGAUGCUCCCUUAGCUUCUCCAAAACCAAUCGCAAAUGUUCCUUAUGUUCUUCUUCAUUCUUCGAGGAAACCAAAAUAUCAUCAAUGAACACCACGACAAACUUAUCCAAAAAUUCCAUAAACACAUUGUUCAUCAGGUUCAUAAAAUAGGCAGGUGCGUUAGUCAGUCCAAAUGACAUAAUGGUAUACUCAUACAGUCCAUACCUUGUGGUGAACGCUGUCUUAGGUAUGUCCUGCUCUCGAAUCUUCAACUGAUGGUACCCUGAUCGCAAAUCGAUCUUGGAAAACACUUUAGCUCCUUGCAAACGAUCAAACAGAUCAUUUAUCAUUGGUAGUGGGUAUUUGUUCUUGAUUGUUACUGCAUUCAAUCCACGAUAAUCAACAACCAUUCUUAACGAUCCAUCCUUCUUCUCCACUAACAAUACGGGUGAUCCCCAAGGCGAAGAACUUGGGCGUAUAUAACCUUUAUCCAACAGCUCCUUAAUCUGUUUCUUGAUUUCCGCCAAAUCCUGUGCGGGCAUCCUGUAUGGUCGCUUCGAUAUCGGGCCUGUACCUGGCAACAGCUCAAUCAAAAACUCAAUGUCUCUAUCCGGUGGCAUUCCUGGCAAUUCCUCAGGAAAUACAUCAGGGUAAUCCUUCACUACUGGCACCUCUUCCUGCACAACUCUUGAUAAGGAAUUUACAUGUGCUCUCCUCGGCUCAUGCCGUGAUACAUACUUGAUCCUUAUCCCUUCUGGUGUUGUAAGCAAAAUGGUUUUACUGGCGCAAUCAAUGUUCCCUCCAUACUUCGAUAACCAAUCCAUGCCUAAUAUCACAUCCAAACCUUGCGAUUCCAGAACUAUUAGGUCCGAGGGAAAAAUAUGGUGUCCAAUCCUUAAUGGCAGUCGAUCACACCAUUUACUAGCCGUAUACUCUGCUCCGGGUGAGGUUACUAGCAUGGGUGACCUAAGUGCUUGGGUUGGCAAUUUAUAUUUAUCCACGAAUCCCCUUGAUAUGUAUGAAUGCAAUGCACCAGUAUCAAAAAGAACAACUACAGUAAAUGCCUUAACCAAAAACUUUACCUAUUACUGCAUCUGGCUGAGCUUCAACCUCCUCCACGGUAACGUAGUUCACUUGCCCCCUGUUGAAAGGGUUCGGCUUCUUUCCUGAGCUCCCAUUGCCAUUUCCAUUUUGGCCUUCAGGACAAUCGUUUGCAUAAUGCCCCGUCUUGCGGCACUUAUAACAGGUGAUAUGGCUCAGGUCUGCUUUGGAUGGUGUUGACGGGGAGGUGCGGCUUUGUCCAUUGCUUCCUCCAUUCCCGUUCCCAUUCUUUGUGCCAUUGUGAUUGUGCGAGCUACCUCCUCCAUGAGUAUGCUGAAACUGUCCUCCUGACUUUGGGGUAAAGCGUGGCUUCUGAUGAGCUCCAGAAUUAUACUUCCCAUGUGCAUAAUUCCUCUUACGAUUAUCAAUCUGCUGCUGCUUCCCUUCAAUCAUAAGGGCACGAUCUACUAACUCCUGGUAGUUAUUGAAAGUGGCUACCAUCAACUGCAUGCUCAGCUCAUUAUUUAGUCCUUCUAGAAACUUCUCCUGCUUAGCUGCAUCCGUAGCAACGUCAUCUGGGGCAUAACGUGCUAGUUUACUAAAAUCAUCCACGUACUGGCCAACUGUCCGUCCUCCUUGGCGCAAGUUGCGAAACUCACGCUUCUUCAUGGCCAUAGCUCCGGCUGAAACAUGGGCAGUACGGAAAGCUUGUUGGAACUGAUUCCAUGUGACAGUGUCUACAGGGUAAGUGGCUGUAAAAUUCUCCCACCAAGCUGCUGCGGGCCCGUCAAACUGAUGUGCAGCAAACUUCACUUUCUCACCAUCUGUGCAUCCUGCAGUGGUCAACUCCCUUCCUAUCUUGCGGAGCCAAUCAUCUGCUACAAUCGGCUCGGUGCUACUAGAAUACAUCGGCGGUUGCAGCCUAAGGAAACGAGUCAAGUGAUCCCCAGGUGGUGGUGGUGGUGGGUUGUUGUUGUUGUUGCCUUGGUUCUGUACCAAUGUCUGAAUCAAAGUAUUCUGCUGCUGAAUCAACUGGGUGAUCUCUGGCGGGAAAACAAACUCGGGGUUGCGUCUCGGAGGCAUCUGAAGGGUUUAGAAAAGACGAGAAAUUAAGAAUAGAGUGAGAUCUAAGGAGAAAACACUACCUAAAUGCUCAUGAGACAAAUGCACUCAAAAUCACUUCAUUCAAUUCAAACAAAGGGCUUACAACGGUCUAACUAUCGCAAAGGUGCGUGUACUAUAAUGUUUACAUGGAGGGGAAUACUACUAAUAUGUGGGGGUCAUCUAUUAAUUAGAACCAGUGGAAGACUCCAUGAUGUCUGCUCCAGCUUCGUCUUCAAAGUCGGGCUCACUUGGAUCCGAAUCGGUGUCGUCGAUGAUGAUGUAGUUGCUCGGACAGUCGACGUACUUGUCUUCAUUCUUGAGCUCCAAUUUCUUCUUGAGUUCUUCAAUCUCAUACUUAAGAUCGUUAUUGUGCUUUGCUACAGCUACGAUCUCGUCCAUGUAGUCCUUGAGUGUAGACUUUAGUUCUCCUUCAAGUUCGAUGAUCCUUCCCUUCGCAUUCUUCAACUCUAUCAUAUCAUUGAACAUCUGGUUCUCCUGGCGUCGAAUGUGCUGGUUUAACUCCUGGAUGAAAGCUGCAAUGGAUCUAUCCUUCUUGGUGCUGACUAUCUCCCAGUCUUCAUUCCUGCGUCCGCAAAUCUGGUAGAUGGUGUUCUUGAGGUCUUCUUGAUAAACUUCUCCAAUGCGUCCCAUGGUGAUAUGGGCUGCCAUGCUCUUUCCCAGACUCCAAGUUGGUGCAUUGAAAACACUAUCUAUAGGCUUGGUGAUUGGGGCGAAUGUCCUUCCCGGAACACGGGCUUGAAUCUUCCAGCGCUCCUCUUCAGGCAGAGUGGCGUUGAAAGUCCCGGCGAAGCUUGGUAGUCCAAUGUUCAGGUACUUGGUGACUUCCUUCAAGUGAAAUCCAAAUGGUGUACCCUCAUCUGGUUGAGCGUACUUGAUCUUUGCGUCCGUCAUCCUAAAGAAUAGAAAAGAUGAGGAGUCAGAAUUGAGAAGAAAGAGUAGUGAUCUAGGGCUUAAGCUUAGUGGCCGUGUCCUACAGUCAGCGUGUGCUCUGAUACCACCUUGUAGCGACCAGACCUCAAACAGUCUGACCUCUGUGCUCAGUGUCAUCCCUGGAUCAGUAAUGCUGACACCACACAGUACUUGGAGGAUUUAUAACAGAGUAGCAAUCACACACUUAUUACAUCGAAUGUCUCAAAAGAGAACUUAUUGAAAUAAAUAUGGCUUAAGGCCAUCUAAUACGAUAACAGCGGAAGGCUUGGAAGAUAAGCGAGUCCAUCAACUCCAACGGCAUCACUGAGUACAGAACCACGACCUAAAAGCACCUUACUCUUCGUCUGAAAAGUCUGCAACAUGAAACGUUGCAGCCCGAAACGGGUCAGCACAUGGAAUAUGCUGGCAAUAUAACACAUAGAGAAUAACAAUGGAGAAUGGCUAUACUACAUGCAUAUUUGGCUGGUGGUAAAGCUCUACGGUUAUAGUUUUGCGAAAAGCGCCUACUACAAAGGAAUAAAUUUUAUUUAACUAUCAUGGUGGUUGUUAAACAUUGAGAAUGGUUGACAGCAUCCUCAAUCCCAAUUAAAAGUACUCAUUUAAAACCCAACAAUAUUAAUUAGAAGUAACAUGAUGAGAUUCACAUGAUAUCCAGGUACUAGAUACUCAAAACGUCCAUAACCGGGGACACGGCUAACCAUGAUUAGUUUAUACACUCUGCAGAGGUUUGCACACUUUUCCCCACAUGACUCGAUCGCGUCCGCUUGUUUCCUCGUACUACAUGGUGUUUGAGAAAUGGAUGACCGAGACAUAGUCUUUCAGAAGCACUAGCACCUUACAUGAGGGGUAGACCGUACCAACCUACAUCCCCUACAUCUGCUAGUCCACCCCGUAAGAGUUCGCACAACUUAGUCAACUAUGCUAGAGCCCAUAAUAGCAUGUGGCUGCACACGUAAGUUACUAGUAUGAAUUAUCUUAUGAUCCCUUUGAGCCUGGGUGGCGGUCCGAAGAAAUACAGGCAACUCCUGCUAGAAAACAAGUGCCUCAAUCCACCCAGAUGUGUGUUUAAGUUGCCACCUUAAGUAAACCAGUAAUUAAUAAUCUCACAUCUGUCAUGGAUAUUCACUCACCCAAUCCACGUCUACUAGCAUAGCAUGGCAUAGUAAGCAACGUAGAAGUAACUCCCAAAGGUUUGAUAAUAAAACAGGUAAUAGGUACUACCUCAUCUACUUCCCAUCCCACAAUUUAAUUAGAUCCUAUUCAUGCAAUGUUUGAGGAUAGAUCUAAUGCAUAAAACUGGGUAGUAGAAAGGUAUGAUCAAGUGUUACUUGCCUUGCUGAUGAUCCGCGAAACCUAGGGACUCGAAGUAACAGGCGGCGCACUCCGGGUAUUCUAUCGCAGACAAACAAACAAGCAUACAAUAAGUACUCAUCUAAUGCACAGGUAAAACUCGAACAAAAGAUCCAACCAGAAAGUUCAACUUAAGAACUCCGGUUUGCAAAAAGAAUCAAAUCAACUAAAGCAACAAAAGUCAAACGGCGAAAGAAACAGCUUCGUUUUGCUAAUCUGGAUCUAAGUCAAAUUUUACAGAAGCAAAAACUUGUUUAAGUAGAUUAUUCGGAAAGAGGGUUUCGAGACGAAACUCCAGGCGCUUGAAUCGCCUGAUUCCGAUAAACGAGCGAAAAGUUAUACUAAAUCGAAAAUCGGAUCAGAAAUCGCGAUCAGAAAAUAAUCGCGGAAAAUCCGAGAAAAAGAAAAAUGACGAACAGAUUAUCGAACGAACGUUCGCUAAUCUAACGAAUCUGACGAAAAGCGUUCGUUAAGACGAACUAACGAACGAACGUCCGCUAAUUAACCUAAACCGAAAAAAAACCAAAAACUAAAAUAAAACGAAUCUAAAAAACCGAAAAAAAAACCGUAAAGAAAACCGCCCGGUUUUUUUAAGAAAACCGGCGGCACGCGGUUCGAGGAGGCGGCGGACCUCGNNNNNNNNNNNNNNNNNNNNNNNNNNNNNNNNNNNNNNNNNNNNNNNNNNNNNNNNNNNNNNNNNNNNNNNNNNNNNNNNNNNNNNNNNNNNNNNNNNNNNNNNNNNNNNNNNNNNNNNNNNNNNNNNNNNNNNNNNNNNNNNNNNNNNNNNNNNNNNNNNNNNNNNNNNNNNNNNNNNNNNNNNNNNNNNNNNNNNNNNNNNNNNNNNNNNNNNNNNNNNNNNNNNNNNNNNNNNNNNNNNNNNNNNNNNNNNNNNNNNNNNNNNNNNNNNNNNNNNNNNNNNNNNNNNNNNNNNNNNNNNNNNNNNNNNNNNNNNNNNNNNNNNNNNNNNNNNNNNNNNNNNNNNNNNNNNNNNNNNNNNNNNNNNNNNNNNNNNNNNNNNNNNNNNNNNNNNNNNNNNNNNNNNNNNNNNNNNNNNNNNNNNNCGGCGGGCGGCGGCGGCGGCGGCUGGCUAGGGUUAGGGUUUGCGGGUGGGCCAGCGGAGUGGGCUGCGGGCUUGGGGCGCUGGGGUCCCGCGCUUUAUAUAGCGCCCCCAAGCGGAGUCCCGCUCGGGUACGGCCCGGAGUCGGUUCCGUUUUUUUAAAACAUUAUGCUCGGUAGAAAAAUCAAAAGAAAUACUAAACGGACUCCAAAAAUCCCGAAAUAAAUUUUCCCCGGCUUCUAAAAUCAAGCCGGACUAGAUGAACAUUUAUUUGGGGCCUAAAUGCAAUUUUGAAAAACGCACAUUUUUCCUAAAUUUAAAAUAAAAGGUGAAAAACUCCAAAAUAAAACUAAUUUAUUUUUUUAUUAAAUCCUCAUUAUUUCUUUAUUUUGGGAAAGUCAUUUUAUUCCCUCUCUGAAUUUUUGGUAGUAGAAAUAACGGAAGAUAAAAUAAAUAAAAUCAAUGAUCCUAUUUUCAGCAUUUCAGAAUAAUCCCAAAUAUGAAAAUAACAAAAUCCCCAACUCUCUCCGAGGGUCCUUGAGUUGCGUAGAAUUUCUAGGAUCGAGCCAACGAUGCAAUAAAAAUAUGAUAUGCAUGAUGAUCUAUGUAUAACAUUCCAAAUUGGAAAUUUGGGAUGUUACACAAACCUCCUGGGCCAACUGGCCCAGCUAAACCAGCCUGGUCAGCCCAGCCGGCCCAGCUCCCCGCACCGCACCCCCUUCCUGUUCCUCGGUCGCGUGCCGCUACAGGGCGCGGUAGACACCGGACCCGCUCGCCGGUGUCGAGGUGGAUAAGGACGCCGACGCCGCGCCCCCUCGGUCUCUCCUCCCACUCGCCCCCCCCGCUCACCUUCGGUUCCUGCGCCACUACCCCUCCCCUCAGAUCCACCCCGCUCUCCUCCUUCCCAUCGCAUCCGAGCGCCACCAUGGACCCGCCGCCGUGAAACGUGCGGCCACAGCCCUCGCCUCACCUCGUUUGCGUGUCGUUCGUCUCCGCCAUCGUCUUCCUCGUCGACCGGUGGCCGCAGCUGGAGCUCGGAGGCGCUGCUGCAACGGCCCCCUUCUUCCACAUCUCCGGUCGCCGCCGUUCUUCCCCAACUCCGUCGACACCCCCUGCUGCUACUAAACUACCACGGGCCAUCUUGCGUGCCGCACGGUGAGCCUCUCCUCCCCCUGCUCCUCCUAGAUGGGCCUCUUGCGCACCAUAGGUACCUCGUGCCGUUGCCGUGAGCCCGUCGCUGCGGAUCACCUCGCCGCCGUGGCCAUGCUCUCCAUCGUGCUCCUGAUGCUCAUAGGAGCCCAACGCGCACGCACACACUCCCUCCUGUGCCUCCUAACUCCGUCCCCGUCGAGCUGCGAUUCCGGCUGCCGCCUGAUCUCAAAGCACCGCUCAACCCCGGCCACCCCCGUGCCCGCGACCACCGCCACUUGACGCACGUUGUCGCGUGCGUUCGAACGCACAUAGCCCUGCAACGAACCGUGCCCCGCAGCCCCGUCUUUGAACUCGCUCGGGCCCCGGCGUCCGCCCCGCUCGUCGCCGGCGACAGCUCCGACGACCUCGGGACGAACCGCCCACGCCACUAGAUGCGCCUCUUCACGCUCGUUCGAAUGAGCCCAUGCGCGCGCUGAUCCGUGCUCUGUGGGCAUUUUCCGGCGAACUCUGGCGGGUCAGCGCCGUGCAUUUGGUCGCCGCCGGCGAGAGCCACCCGUGCUGACCUGGCGUGGCGGGUCCCACUGCCUGGGCCACUGACUGGUGGGCCCAAGGCCCCCUGUUGACCAGUUGACUGAGUCAACUUGCUGACUGGGCUGGUCCCAGCAGCUGACUAGUGGCCCCCCCAUCUUUAAGCUAAUUAAAUUAGUUAAUCUAAUUAAUCUGGGCUAAUUAGGCACUGACUAAUGGGGCCCACACUUAGUUAACUCUAAAUUAGUUUAAAACAAAUCCUAUUUCACCUCUGUCUCAAUGACAGGUGGGUCCCAAUGGACCCACAGUCAAUUUUGACUCUAGUCAACCACACUGUUGACUGCUAACAUCACACAUACGUCAUGCUGACGUCAUCCCAUACUAUUCUGGAUAAUGUUGAUUUAAAUUAAUUAAAUAAAUUCUAGAAAAUGAUUAAAUCUUUAGAAAAUCAUAUCUUUUAAUCCGUAACUCGGAUGAAAAUACUUUCUACAUGAAAGUUGCUCAGAACGAUGAGACAAAUCCGGAUACGCAGCCCGUUCGUCCGCCACACAUCCCUAGCAUAGCGAACACGCAACUUUCCCCCUCCGGUUCACCUAUCCGAAAACGCGAAACACCGGGAAUACCUUCCCGGAUGUUUUCCCCCUUCGUCGGUAUCACCUACUACCGCGAUUGGGCACACCUAGCAUCGUUACUUGUCAUGUCAUGCAUCGAUAUGCAUCCGUUUGCAUGGUAUUCAUUGUUUCUUCCUCCUCUUCUCUCCGGUAGACUACGAGACCGACGCUGCUGCUGCCCAGUUCGACUACGGAGUUGACGACCCCUUGUUCUUGCCAGAGCAACCAGGCAAGCCCCCCCUUGAUCACCAGAUAUCGCCUAUUCUUCUCUAUACUGCUUGCAUUAGAGUAGUGUAGCAUGUUACUAUUCGGUUACUCCUAUUCUGUUGCAUAGCCUGUCAUUGUUGCUACAGUCAUUGAUACCUUACCCGCAAUCCUAAAUGCUUAGUAUAGGAUGCUAGUUUAUCACCAUUGGCCCUACAUUCUUGUCAGUCUGCCUUGCUAUACUAUUGGGCCGUGAUCACUCGGGAGGUGAUCACGGGUUUAUACUAUACAUAUAUACAUACUACAGAUGGUGACUAAAGUCGGGUCCGCUCGAAGAGUACCCGCGAGUGAUUCACGGAUUGGGGGCUGAAAGGACCUUUGUCCCAAUGACCCUCUGUGUGGAUCUUUGUGGAGGAGCGACAGGGCAGGUUGAGACCACCUAGGCGAGAGGUGGGCCUGGACCUGGUCGGCGUCCGCGGUUGCUUCAUAAUAACACGCUUAACGAGAUCUUGGUAUUUGAUCUGAGUCUGGCCAUUUGGUCUAUAUGCACUAACCAACUACGUGGGAAAGAUAUGGGCACUCGACGUCAUGGUAUCAGCCGAAGCCUUCUAGACGUCAGCGACUGAGCGGCGCGCGCCGGAUUGGAACGUAAGCCUGCUCUUGUAUUAAGGGGGCUAGUUCUGCUUUCGGCCGCCCACGCAACAUGCAGGUGUGCAAUGGGCGAUGGGCCAGACCCCUGCGCCAUAGGAGUUAGACCAGCGUGCUGACCUCUCUGUUAGGCCUAGGUGGGGCUGCGACGUGUUGAUCUUCCGAGGCCAGGCAUGACCCAGGAAAGUGUGUCCGGCCAAAUGGGAUCGAGCGUGUUGUGUUAUGUGGUGCACCCCUGCAGGGAAGUUAAUCUAUUCGAAUAGCCGUGUCCCUCGGAAAAAGGACGACCCAGAGUUGUACCUUGACCUUAUGACAACUAGAACCGGAUACUUAAUAAACACACCCAAACAAGUUCCACAGACAACCCGGUGAUCGCUUUUCCACAGGGCGACGAGGGGAGGAUCGCCGGGUAGGAUUAUGCUAUGCGAUGCUACUUGGAGGACUUCAAUCUACUCUCUUCUACAUGCUGCAAGAUGGAGGCUGCCAGAAGUGUAGUCUUCAACAGGAUUAGCUAUCCCCCUCUUAUUCUGGCAUUCUGCAGUUCAGUCCACCGAUAUGGCCCUUUACACAUAUACUCAUGCAUAUGUAGUGUAGAUCCUUGCUUGCGAGUACUUUGGAUGACUACUCACGGUUGCUUUCUCCCCCCUUUCCCCCCUUUCCUUUCUUUCUGGUUGUUGCAACCAGAUGCUGGAGCCUAGGAGCCAGACGCCACCGUCGACGACGACUACUACACUAGAGGUGCCUACUACUACGUGCAGGCUGCUGACGACGACCAGGAGUAGUUUAGGAGGAUCCCAGGCAGGAGGCCUGCGCCUCUUUCGAUCUGUAUCCCAGUUGUGCUAGCCUUCUUAAGGCAAACUUGUUUAACUUAUGUCUGUACUCAGAUAUUGUUACUUCCGCUGACUCGUCUAUGAUCGAGCACUUGUAUUCGAGCCCUCGAGGCCCCUGGCUUGUAUUAUGAUGCUUGUAUGACUUAUUUAUGUUUUUAGAGUUGUGUUGUGAUAUCUUUCCGUGAGUCCCUGAUCUUGAUCGUACACGUUUGUGUGCAUGAUUAGUGUACGAUUGAAUCGGGGGCGUCACAAGUUGGUAUCAGAGCCGACUGCCUGUAGGAUUCCCCCUUCCACACUCCUUGGCCGAAGUCGAGUCUAGUCACUACAAAACUUUUACUAACUUGGCUGUGUGCCUUACGGGCCCACGUCGCCAUUGGGUGGUAUUAGGAUCUUUUACUUCUCGACCUUUACUCUGGGGCUCUGAACUCUCUCCUACUCGGGUUAAACGAAUUUACUAACUCUAACAUUAGGAUCCCGUUACCACGUUCACCCCAAAGUUGGAUAAGCCAUAGUUAUUCUGUAGGAUAGUAUUUUGAAUAGUACCCACAUUGUCAUUUGACUCCAUUGAAACAUCUUUGUUUUCAGAUGGAACCCACGAGGCAGGUCGUGCGCCACACGGCGGCCAUUGGUGCCUCAAGAUCACCUGCUGUGCUAGCUGAGAUGAUGACCUAUCUGGGUUAUCGCUGGCACCCUGAGUACACCGUCUAUGAGGAGUACCAGGACUUUAACCAGGAGCAGUACCGUGCCAUCGUCCACCUCUACUCUCGGGAGUAUGACUCCACUACUGUGCUGCACAACGCUUAUGGUGUUGGAGUGACCAUCGAGAUGGCAGUUCACGAUGCUGCCUAUGCUGCUCUGACACGUCUUCAUGGAGAGUAUCGGGCGUUGGACACUUCCCUUUCAGGCACAUUGCUAUCGUAUCCGACGUUGGUGCGGAGGGAUACUACACUGCUGCCUACUCCACUGUCACUCGAGAGCCCUUCCACCAUCAGAGCCUGGUUCUGCAUGCUGAUGGGUUGGACCGAGCUAACCGAGCUCUUCGCCACGAGUUGUACACCACUCGUCAGCACCUUUGCAGGGCUCUGACGCUGUUGCACCCCUUUGUUCUAUCUAGACAGCUACCGCGUUCUGCGAUCUACCCAGCCAGGACCGUGAUGCCCGAUGGUGUCGGUUGGCCAGAGGUGGGAGGCUACUCUCCCGCACUUGGUCCUCUUCUGCCACCUGAGCGUCGGGCUCUACACCAGAGUAUCCGCGGCCCCCAGGCCGCUGACGUGGACUAUCCGUUGCCUCACUACCAGUUGUCGGGCAACGACUACCUCCACAGUACCUCCUGGGACUGAUGUAGUCUUGCUUAUUAGUAUUAGAUGCAUUCGCCGCGAGCCUGCGUGCCGCCUAUGAUGACUUAGUCUAUGUACUGAACUCUGUGUACUGAACUCUAUGUCCGACCCCUUUUGUAAGAUAUGCCGACUACUAUGUAGUAUCUGUCGUGCUCCUUUCAUUAUGCAUGUUUCAUCAUGAAUGAUUCUUGUCUAUGCAAAUUUCUCAAUGCUGAACUACCCCUGUUAUAUAUUAGCAGGAUGGUUAGACCAGCUGGUCGUGGUCGUGGUGACAACGCCCCACCACCGCCUGAGUACAUGGCUGGUAUGGUCCAACAGCUCGAGAUGAAUCGCCAGUUCAUGGAGAAUAUGAUGGCUCAGUUCCCUCGCCCCAAUAUGAACGAGCAGCCAGCCCAAGUGACUCUACAGGAUUUCAUGCGCCUCAACCCAACCGUGUACCGCAGCUCAACUCAGCCGCUGGAUGCUGAUGACUGGCUCCGUGACAUCACCUAUGAGAUGGAGUCUGCUGAGGUAGCCCCUGCCCGCUUUGUCACCUUUGCUUCCUUCUUUCCGAAGGGACUCGCAGCUCAAUGGUGGGACAGCCAUAGGCGUACUCUGCCAGUUGGGACAAUCAUCACCUGGCCAGACUUUCAAGCUGCCUUCCAUGCCCGCUUCAUUCCUCAGGGGAUCAUGGACAGGAAGAAGCGUGAAUUCCGCAACCUCACCCAGGGCAACAAAACAGUGGAAGCUUAUCAGCAGGAGUUCCUGGACUUGUCCCGCUAUGCUGAAGAAGACAUUGCAACCGAUGCACGCAGACAGGAGAAGUUCCGUGACGGCCUUCAAGCUGACAUCAAGCUCGCACUUCUAGUGCAUGACUUUGCCGAUUUCGCCACCUUGGUGAACAAGGCUAUCAAUGUCGAGACUGGGCUGCAGGAACACCAGAGCUCUCACAGGCGCAACCGUGACACGGGCUCAUCUUCGGGCCCGCCCUCGCAGAAGCGUAAGAUAUGGAUCCCGAACAGCAUGUACCGUCCAAAUACACCUGCCUCAAGGCAGACCUAUGCUGCACCUCGUCUGCCUCCUCCACCAUCUAGGUAGCCAAGGCUUCCAGCUCCACCACCCCAAGCUCCUGUUCCCACUCCCAAUAAUGGUCUGUGCUACAAGUGUGGUCAACCAGGUCAUCGUGCCAGGGACUGCAAUCAGAAUCAAAAUCAAUUGGCCCUUUCCGCAACUGGCCGUGGAAACAACCAGCCUGGCAACAACAAUGCCAAGUCUUAUGGUCGUGUUCAUGCCAACCAUGUUGAUCUGAACGAAGCUCAAGACCAGCCUGCUAUUGUGAUGGGUACACUCCUCGUAAAUUCAGUACCAUCAUCCGUUUUAUUUGAUAUAGGUGCAUCGCAUUCAUUCAUGUCAGAAGAUUUUGCAUGCUUGCACGACAUUAAAUGUGAGGACAUGAACGCUUCUCUAUUAGUGCACACCCCUGCGGGCCAAUGUCGGACCUCCAUGAUUUGCAACGACGUCCCCGUUGAAAUCGAAGGACUAGAAUUCCUUGUCUCUCCCAUCAUAUUGAAGUCCUAUAGCAUUGAUCUCAUUCUGGGAAUUGGUUAAAAGCGCAUACUGGUUCUAUAGUUUGCGCCACUAAGACCAUCCAUCUGCUACACCCUUCUGAUGAAAUAAUUAGCUACAAUGCUCAUCUAGUUCAGAAUGACGAGGCAAGGCUUUAUGCCUUGAACGCAUUGAACAUUGCACCCCUCGAGGGCAUUGAAAACAUUCCUGUCGUUCGUGAAUUCCAAGACGUCUUUCCCGAAGAACUUCCAGGGAUUCCCCCUGCUAGAGCUGUCGAAUUCAUCAUUGACUUAAAACCAGGCACAACUCGUAUAGCCAAACGGCCCUACAAGAUGUCGCCGCAUGAACUCAUUGAGCUUAAGGAGGAAAUCGACAAAUCUCUUCGAAGUGGUUUCAUUCGCCCUAGUUGCUCUCCUUGGGGAGCACCUUCUCUCUUUGUCAAGAAGAAGGAUGGGACAAACCGAUUGGUCCAUGACUACCGCCGUAUUAACCAGGCUACCAUUCAGAACAAAUAUUCUCUUCCUUAGAUCAAUGAUCUAUAUGAUCAACUGGCUGGUUCGUCAGUGUUCUCUAAACUCGACUUGAGGUUGGUAUACCAUCAGAUUCGUGUUCGUGAAGAAGAUAUCCCAAAGACCGCAUUUGUGACUCGCUAUGGAUCAUACGAGUACACCGUCAUGUCUUUUGGAUUAACCAAUGCUCCAGCCACCUUCUCUCGUCUGAUGAACUAUAUCUUUAUGGAAUACCUUGACAAAUUUGUCGUGGUUUAUCUGGAUGAUAUCCUUGUAUAUUCCAAGAAUGAAGAGGAACAUGCUGAACAUCUUCGUCUUGUUCUGAAAAAGCUUAGAGAGCAUCAACUCUAUGCCAAGUUCUCCAAGUGUGAAUUCUGGCUUCCCGAAGUAACCUAUCUUGGGCAUGUCAUCUCUAAGGAUGGUAUUGCUGUCAACCCUGAGCGAGUUCAGGCUAUUCUAGAUUGGACUCCUCCGAAGAAUGUCAAGCAAGUCAGAAGUUUUCUCGGACUCGCCAGCUAUUGCCGUCGAUUCGUCGAGAACUUCUCCAAGAUCGCUAGACCUCUGACUAACCUGCUUCAUAAGGGCGCCAAGUUUCAACGGACAGAAAAGUGUCAGGAAAGUUUCCAGGCGCUCAAAGACAAGUUGACCUCUGCCCCAGUGCUUGCUCCUCUAGAUACUAAGAAGGACUUCGUCAUUUAUUGUGAUGCUUCACGUCAAGGCUUAGGCGCUGUCCUAAUGCAAGAGCGCAAGGUGAUUGCUUAUGCCUCUCGUCAAUUGCACCCUCACGAAGAGAACUAUCCAGUUCAUGACCUCGAGCUUGCUGCUGUUAUCCAUGCACUGAAACAGUGGCGACAUUACCUUCUCGGUAAUCGUUGCGAGAUCUUCACCGACCACCAAAGUCUGAAGUAUCUGUUUACUCAACCAGAUCUGAACCUCCAUCAGCAGAGAUGGAUGGAGAUUGUUGCAGAUUUUAACCUGGGUAUUUCGUAUACCCUAGGCAAGGCUAAUGUGAUGGCUGAUGCCUUGAGCCGCAAGUCUUACUGCAACCACCUCCAGGUUCACAAAGUUCAACCCUCGCUUGUUGAAGAAUUCAGAAAGCUGAAACUCCAUAUUGUUCCUCCUGGUGCACUCGCUCCCCCUCCUCUGGAGUUUCGCAAGAUGAACCUCCACGUUGUUUCCCGGGGUUCUCUCAAUACCAUAGUUGCUAGACCAGAUCUUGUGGACACCAUCAAAUGGAUACAGAAAUGUGACGAUGAAGUCGAGCGGAUUAAACGUUAUCUCGCAGAAGGAAAGCCCUCAUUCUUCUCUGUUGAUGACGCAGGCACCUUAUUCUUCAAAGGUCGUCUAGUGGUACCGAGUAAGAGGGAAAACCUGAAUCUGACUCCAAGGGUUAUGCAAGAAGCUCAUGAUACACCUUUGUCUAUUCAUCCCGGUAGUACCAAGAUGUACCAAGACAUUCGUCAGAGAUUCUGGUGGUCUAAUAUGAAGCAAGAUAUUGCUCGUUAUGUUGCUGAGUGUGACGUUUGUCGUCGUAUCAAAGCAGAGCAUCAAAGGCCUGCUGGAACUCUGCAACCUAUCUCUAUUCCUGAAUGGAAAUAGGACCAUGUUGAAAUGGACUUCGUCACUAGAUUUCCCAAAUCGCAGAAAGGUAAUGAUGCUAUUCUUGUCGUCAUUGACCGGCUUUCUAAAGUUGCGCAUUUUCUGGCUGUCAAGGAAACGAUCACUGCUAGUCAGCUGGCAAACCUCUACAUGUCCAGAAUUGUCUCGCUUCACGGUAUUCCAUUGGUAAUUAGUUCAGACCGUGGCAACUUAUUCACUUCAAGAUUCUGGGCAAGUUUCCAAGAAGCUAUGGGCACUCAUCUGUCUUUCAGCACUGCUUUUCAUCCUCAGUCGCAAGGGCAAGUUGAACGUGUCAACCAAGUUCUCGAAGACAUGCUUCGAGCUUGUGUUAUUUCCUUCUGCAAGAAAUGGGAGGAAUCUCUCCCGUAUGCCGAGUUCUCUUAUAAUAAUAGCUAUUAAGCUAGUCUGAAGAUGGCCCCCUUUGAAGUGUUAUAUGGACGAAAGUGCCGAACCCCUCUGAACUGGUCAGAAACUGGGGAACGUCCACUCUUCGGUCCGGAUAUUAUCCAACAUGCCGAAGAACAAGUCCGCAUUAUUCGCGAGAAUCUCAAGACUGCUCAGUCGCGUCAGAAGAGUCAGUAUGACCGUAAACAAUAAGGACAUGGUCUAUCAGCCUGGCGAAAAGGCCUAUCUUCGCGUUACACCAAUGAAGGGUGCUCACCGCUUUGGGAUCAAGGGAAAGCUAGCUCCUCGCUAUAUUGGCCCAUUCACUAUUCUGGAAAGGCGUGGAAAAGUGGCAUACCAACUGGAGCUUCCGCCGAACCUUUCUCAGGUUCAUGAUGUGUUCCAUGUGUCACAGCUCCGCCGUUGCUUCAAGGACCCAAUCCGAGGAGUGGAUCAUGAAGUGCUCGAAUUACAACAGAACCUCUCCUAUAAAGAGCAUCCGGUCCGCAUUCUUGACCAAGCCGAACGCCGCACACGUCAGAAGGCGAUCAAAUUCCUCAAAGUUCAGUGGUCGCACCAUUCUGAAGAUGAAGCCACUUGGGAACGCGAGGAUCGUCUGCGCGAAGAAUACCCCGCACUGUUUCCUUCUACCUCUCAAAUCUCGGGACGAGAUUUCUUGUAGUGGAGGAGAUUUGUAACGCCCGGAUAAUUAUGCUACAGUAAAACUCUGUAUUGAUGCCACGCCACCUUCGUUACUGUUGCUAAUCUUUCAUUAGUUCAAAACCGGUCCAAAAAUCAAAAUUCAAAAUAUGACAAACAACAAAAGUUUUCAAACAUCAAAACAAAAAUGUUCGGGCAGUGCCAAAUAUUGCAUAGGUAAUUAUGGUGAAGUAAACACAUUUUUAGAAAAUGACUAAAUACUUUAAAAUGAAAUAAAA
rnacentral:lncRNA from 1 species